GGGCAAUGGCGGGCGCCCCUCCCCCAGCCUCGCUGCCGCCUUGCAGUUUGAUCUCAGACUGCUGUGCUAGCAAUCAGCGAGACUCCGUGGGCGUAGGACCCUCCGAGCCAGGGAAUAUCUUUCUCCACCACUUUCUCUUAGAUUUAUGUGAGUCCUCAUGUAUCAGGCCAAGGCGGUGGGACCGAAGUUACCUCUGGAGUAUGAAAAUAAGCAACACCAUUAUGAAAAGUCAAAAGAACUUUGGAGUCAAACAGUCCUGCAUUUGAAGGCUAGUGCUACCACUCACCAUUAGGCUAUUUAACCCCAUACUUCUUAAAGUUGGAUAAGGGAUGGAUGGUAUACCAGGAGAUAUGAAAAAGCAGAGGCUGAACAUAGUAAUCUUCCUACAGAAUCAGUUUUAUUCAAUUGUUUUUGGGAAAUAUUUUUAUAUUCAAAUAAACAAUAUGAUAUUAUGGAACAGAAUGCAAAUUAUACAUGAUGUUUUUGCAUAAAUCAUGAGACUUUAAAGAAAAUUUGCAAUUCCAGUAUGCUGCAGUGGGUUAGGAACCACAACAUGCCAAGAUUAACUCUCCUCUACCUUUAGGAGUAUUUCAGCAGAAACAUUUUUAAAACAAUGACUUUAUCUUUUUGGGAUUGAAUUUUCUAUUUACAAAAAUAGAGAUAACAAUACAUCAUGGGAUUCUAUGAAGAUUAAAUGAAAACUCAUAACAUUGACCCUUGCACUAAGUAGUUUUGAAAAAACUAUUUGUAUAUGUGAAAGCAUUCAGCAUAGUGCUGAUUUAUUUUCUAUUUCAGCAACUGGUAGAUCAUACUAUGAGCAUUACUAUUUAGUACAUAUUGCUGGUGAUAAUGGGCUAACGGACCGUUACUAUAUGUUCUAGCUUAACCUUUGCAAGUAACAACAGUAGAUUGAAAAUAUUCAGCAUUCUGCCAUAUUUAGUGCAUUCCAUUUUGUAUUAACCUACUGAGGAUACUUUGAUUGUCUCCUAAAUUAACAAAUACUAAGUCAAAAUUAAACUUAAUAUACAUCAA
ensembl:lncRNA novel transcript, antisense to BOLL